UGUAUAAUAGAUUAUUUAACAGUGUUCACGAUAAGUUCAUUGUUUCAUUUGGGGCAAAACAAAUUGUGAGAGAAUUUGAACACCAAUCUUUAACGAGACGAACACUCUCUUGAAAUUUCAUGUUCCAUGAUUAACGAUGGAUUCUAAAAAAAGCGAAAAAGGAGCACAAAUUAUGAUUAAAUAUUGUUUUCGACUGUGUCUGACUGUUUACGAUAUUGCACAUUAAAACUUGCAGCUUGUGAGGUCAUCUUUAUCUGAUAAGUAAAUUGUAAAUAUUCAUGCAGCGAAAAUAUAUCCGUCGAAGCAGACAAACAAAAUGUUGAAAUCAUGCAAAAUUAACGCAUGCAGGGUGCUAAAUACGAGAUAAAAGAAAAUUCAUGAUAUGGUCGUUGUUUACAAAUCGUUGUUUAUAAAUCGUUCUUCACAUAAAUCGUGCUAGUACAUACUCAUUUAAGAAAAGAAACAUUGUCGCAAUGAGUUGUGCAACACACACUUCGGUGUUGGUGCGUCAAUGAUUCGUGCAGCGUUCAGAGCCAAUAAAAGAAACAUCGGUCUGUUGAAUUAAUCAAUUAUAAUAAAUAUUGAUUACGAAACAGAGAAGAAAUGUUGAUCUUGACAUUAAUCUUGAUGUUACUUACUUAAAAUUCCUUUCGAAUUUACCGAAAUUUCACACUUCCUUGAAUUUACAAUCCUCUGUAAAUAAAUAUUCCAUCUAGAAAUGUAA